CCGUGACUUCUCUCAAAAAAAAAAAGAUGAAUCAGUUGAUUAGGAGAUCAUGGAGUUUAAUGGGUUCUUCUUCAUCUUCUUCAAUUGUAUCGAAGCAGCAGACACUGAAUGCUUUGAUGAAAUCACUUCAUUUGUUUCAAUCAUCUCAAACUAGUAGUAGUAAUGGUUAUUGGGGCCGGUUAGAGGAUUUCAGUUUCAACUCCAUUACAAAUCAAGUCUUCUCCUAAUGGGGACAACCAGAUACCGAAAACAUUUUAAAGGAACAAUGAAAGGAAUAUCUCAUCAAGGCAAUCAUGUCAGUUUCGGUAGUUAUGCUCUUCAGGCACUUGAUCACUCUUGGAUCACAGCUAAACAAAUAGAAGCAGGGAGACGAGUAAUGACACGGUAUACUAAAGCUGGUGCAAAACUAUGCAUAUGCUGAAAAACCUGUUACACAAAAACCUGCAUAAGUGUGUAUGGGUAGGGGAAAAGGAAAUCCAGCAUUUCGAGUAGCUGUGUUCAACCAUGUAGGAUAAUCUAUGAAAUUGGUGGAGUUACAGAAAAUGUAGCCAGAGAAGCUAUUAAAAUAGCUGCAUCUAAAAUGCCUAUAAAGACUCCAUUUCUUAUCGGAGACAAACGCCCCAACAUCUGAUGAUCCCUUGGCAGUUUUAGUCGCAAUUCUGUAUGUCAUUAGCUGCCAUGUCUAGAAGGAAACAAAUGCCCCGAAAGAAUAAAACUACAGAUAAUUUCAUAGAUAAUCUCUUGUGGCGCACCUUUUUUUGUACAAGCAUUUUUGUAUAUUUCAUUGCUUCUUUUGUGCAACUCUAGGGGGAACAGCUUUGCCUUUAAGGCAAUGUAUUUACUAUCUGGUAAUCCAUUUCAGAUAGAUUUUUGGGUUUUAUGCUCCUCAUAAAUUUAGCUUGAGAAAGUAUAAAAGAAGCAAUGAAAGAAAAGUAUAGAUUUUUGGGUUUUAUCCAUUUUUCUUCUGAAAAUGUGGUUCCUCAGGUAUAAGACAAUGACUCAUGUUUCCAUCAUUUUAUAAAUGUGCACUGAUCCUUGCAACGACGAAACACGGAAUUGGUUUCAGGACUGGUCAAUAUUCCCUGUUAAAGCUGUAUCUGAUCAAAAUUACUGCAUUUUGAGUCCCCAACCCCAACUACCAUUAUUUUUGUACUGAAGCAACAAUGAUGGCUAGCUCAAUCACAUGGUCUGGCAGAUUUGAAGUUUGGGCAUGUAACACGUUUAUCCAUAAAAUAAUUGAGAGUUGACUAUUUUUCUCAAUAAAUAAUGGAUUGCUAGUCUAUAAAUCUGCACACCAGUCCUAUGCAGAUUCACCAUCACGAGAGAGCAUUUUCACUGUAAUCAAUCGAAGAGAAUGAACACCCAUCAGUCAGUUUUGACUCCGGUUAAGCGGUCAUGGUGCAAUGGAAUGACAAUUUUGAAUAUCAUGGUUGUAGUAAUAAUACUAGUGGUACAAAUCUCUUCAACCUGUUGUUUAGCUUCUUCACAGCACCAGAAUCUGGUGAGAUGGAAUCAUCCAAAGCGUGAAUUGCUCGACAGAAUCAAUCGGAAAGGACCUUAUAUCGGGGUGGUGAUGGCUUACUCUACUGAAGAAAUGGCUCUUCAAGCUUCUGGUGUGUUCAUCCCCAACUGUCACAACCCUUCCGUUGACUUGUCUGGUAGAAAAUUCAACAUUGGAAGCAUUAAAGGGACAAAGGUUAUUUACGUCAUGUCGGGGCAGCGCAGGUUAAAUGCCGGAAUCACUGUACAAAUCCUUCUGGACGUAUUCGAUAUACGAGGAAUUGUUCAUUACGGUAUAGCAGGGAGUGCUAAUAACUCCUUAUCUUAUGGGGAUGUUAGCAUUCCAAAAUAUGUUGCCUUUACGGGUUCCUGGAAUUGGGAGAAUUUGGGAUCAAAAAAUGUGGAUAAAUUUACAGAAAUGAAGAUUGGAAAUUACAAUCUUCCGAAAGAGGGACAAAACCUAUUGGGGGAAAUUGCAUUUAAACCGGAGGAAUUUUUUUCUGUUGGGCAACCCAUGAAAGAAGUGUUUUGGCUUGAAGUAGACAAAACUUGGUUCAACCUUGCAGCACAGCUGAAGGUGAGAAAACUUCACAAUUAUGCCUGGAAAAUCUAUUACAGAUACUGUUCAAUUGAAACAGUUGCUUGCAUACGACAGUGUUUGGAAUUUCAACGAUGUGAGAACGCUACCUCGUGUUUGCCAAGAGUUCCAAAGGUAGAAUAUGGAUUGAGAGGUGCUACAGCUGAUAUAUUCUUAGACAAUGCUGCUUAUAGAAAUUUUCUUUUCAAAGAAUUCCAAGUCUCAACUGUUGAUGAAGAGAGUUCUGCCAUAGUAAUGACGGCCAUGUCAAGUAACGUUCCAUCUAUCGUUAUUAGAGGGGUAUCAGAUUUGGCAGGUGGAGAAGGAACACCAGUAUCUACAUUCCUCAGUUCUUUGGCAGCUGUUAAUACUCUUAAUGUUACGAUCAAGUUCAUCGAAUUGAUUGGAGCAUCAAGAAAUACUCUUGCAAAAUGAGAAAUCAUCAUAGGUGAUCAGUCAAAGCGGUUGAUGAUCAGUCAAGUUUUAUAAUUUUCUUAAGUUGUAGCUUCCUAAGGUCGAAAAUUCAACAUUGGAAGCAUUAAAGGGACAAAGGUUAUUUACGUCAUGUCAGGGCAGCGCUGGGUAAAAUCUCAUUUUAAUGCCAAAAAAAAAAAUGAAGGCAAAAUGGUUAAAACCAAAUCCCUUGCUUAAUACAAUGCAUUCUUUGUAGUUAAAUGAUGGGAUCACUGUACAAAUCCUUCUGGACGUAUUCGAUAUAGGAGGAAGUGUUCAUCACUUGAUAGCAGGGAGUGCCAAUAACUCCUUAUCUUAUGGGGAUGCUAGCAUUCCUAAGUAUGUCGCCUUUACAGGUGCCUGGAAUUGGGAGGUAAAUUCAGAAUUAACUUGUUCAUAAUCACGUUUGGUAUUUGCUUUCGGAUUCUCCAUAAGUGUUUUCUUGGCUAUAAAUUGGUAUAAAAC